CGCUGAGCAGGGAGCCCAACAUGGGGCUCAAUCCCAGGACUCUGAGAUCAUGACCCGAGCCGAAGGCAGAUGCCAACUGACUGAGCCACCCAGGCGCCCUGGGCAUUCUGUAUUUAAUCUCACAAUCCAGUCAUGUGUCAGCGGAGGCUUUCAUCGUCCGAAGACUUCAGACGAGGGUUCUUGGAUCCAUUUCCAAGAUGGCACAUGAACAUGCCUACCAAGUUAGCUCUGGUUGUUUGCAGGGGUCAUCGGUUCUUUGCCACAUGGAGCUCUUUUUGGACUGCUUGAGGGUUUCCCUCAAAUAGCAGCUGGCUUCCCCCAGAGUGAUUCAAGAGAGUUCAAUAUGAUUUAUGACCUUACCUUGGAAGUCACAUUCUGUAAUUUCUGAAAUAUUGUAUUGAUCACACAGGUCACUUCUAUUCAUUGUGGGAGAGGAUUAGAUGAAUACCAGAAGCAAGAAUCACCGGAGGCCAUCUUGGAGACUGGCUCCAUCCUCUGGAAUUUAUACAUGGAGUUCAUAGCCUAUAAGUUCCAUGAUGAUCAGACAAAGAGGCAACACAGAGAAGUUGAGUCAAUUGUCCAGGAUCAUACAGCAGAGCCCAGAUCCGCUGUCUCACCGACACACUUUCCACUUGUAUCGUGUAGUGGCUAAAGCUCUCAGCUUCAGCUGAGCUUAGCAGUCAUUCCCGUGUUCAUGGUGGAGUAGCUUCCCAUUGAAGCCAGACUAGAUGGGAAGGAGGAGACGCAUCUGAGUAGGGCGAGCGGGUGUGCCCUCACCUGUGAGUUUGACCGCAGCGCUCCGGAUCAUCUCCCAGCUGCUGCUGAAGAAGGGGAACAAGUGUGUGUGGAGGAUCCACAGGAUUUCCUGGUUUUUCUUUGCCUGAAAGAGAUGCAUAUUGCAAAGAGGACAAGUGGGAGGUGACCUUUAGUGAAAUCUGGCAUCCGGUAGGUCCUACAUAAGGAAACUACAGGCCAUGAACACUCACACAGCUAUUCAUUUUUCUACUGGGAGAUGUCUUGUGGUUAUUUCAAACCUGAAUUUAAAAGUACUGGGGCUUGCGGGACUAAUCAACAGGUGUGUUUCAGGGAUCUCGAAGAACAGAUCCUUGUCAGGACUUGGGAGAGAGCGGAGGGUAAUGGGGGAGGACACCAAGAAUCAUUGCAAUCCUUCAAACCAGUUCUGACUGUGGUCAGAGAUCCCUUGCUGUGUUGUUUGCCUUUUUGGGCUUUGCCUGGACUUUGGGCUGUGCGUUUGCAGGCAGCAUUUACGACAUACUCACCAGUUUCACACAGAAUUGCCUGUAGAAAUCCCUGGCCCUUGGUAGAUCCUGGCCAUCUAGGAGAUGAUCUAACACCCCAUAGAGUUCCUGAAGGCCCAGGAAAGGGAUGCAGAUGAUCAGGACGUCACGGCAAGCCUAAGAAACAGUGUUUCAAGUCACCGUCUAGAACGCUUCCCUUCUGGAAGGGAAGGAUGCUGCCUAGUGCUGGGACGGGGCAGGGGACACAGUGAUGCAAGGGGUUUAGAGUAAGUACUGGCACCAUCCCACUUUCAAAGACGGAAGAGCAAUCUGAGAGAGAAAGAGAGAGGGCAAGAAAGAACCUAGGGUCGAAGAAGCAGUUUUCAGGUUUGGUUGAGAGAGGUGGCCUCAGAUCUGGCUUCUGGACCAGCUAGACCAGACUUACUGGCACUUGCCAGCCGUGGGGGGAGGGGGAGGUGCAGGGUCUGUGCAAAGGCCACUUACAGCUCCGACCUUGGGAUUGGGAUCCCAGAGGUGGAGAAGGAAUGAAAUCAUGCUCUUUUUUAUUUCUUCUGCAAAAAAAAUCUUCCACCUUCUUCCUGUGAGGGAUGCCAGGUUCUCAAACAAGUAGAUGGCAGUCAGUCUCACAUCAUCCUGCUCCUGUGGUGACAGAUGCAUGUCAUGGGUGAGUCCCCCUCACAGGCCACCUCCAGGUGGCGCCCAACCCCACCCCCACCCCCACCCUGCCCUGUCCCAUAGCAGCAGAGGGAGGCGCUGCUGAGCUCUUGUCUCAAGGCCUGUGUGAGCCAAGAACGCUCUUCCAUUCCUAGCAGCUCUGCACUCACACUCCGUGAGUUUACAUGACCAUGGGUCUGGGCGUCAAGUGAUGCCCUAGAGCUGGAGACUUGGUUUCUGUCAUUGAGUCCCUACUGGGGACACAGACCACAGGGAUGGUAAACAGGGAGUACUGGCAACGAGAGGGCAGGGAGGGUUCCUGCUUAUUGUGUAUUUUAUACAGAUUAGCCCGAUGGCAUCACUAUCCUAGAAUUCUGGGGCCCUUAAUCUAAAAUUGCCCGAGGCCCAAGACUCUUCUCUAAGAUCCCAAAUACUUUCCAAUAGGAUUAAAGGCAGCUCAGAAGUUUGAGCUCUGGGUCUCAGAGACAGAGAAUAAACAAACAAGUGCCUAGCUCUAUGCUUGCAUACGUGAAAUUCUGGAACUUUCCUUGCUUGUUGUCCAGGAUGGAAGGCAAUGAUUUUAAGAACCAAAGGAUAAGGUGGUGGAGAGAGAUGGCCAUCUGUUAUCCCAGACAUUUUGCUGAUACCGUUCAGAGUUCAAACAAACACUGAUGGAUUUUUCUGGAGGUUUUUCUUUCUUUCUUUUUCCCCCCAGGUCUAGCAGACUAGUUUAAAAUACACAUAUAAAGGCAGAGGGAUGAAGAGAAAAGUCGUCCUGAGUAGCAGAUUAUUAUUUUGGAUUAGCAAUAAGCAAGGGUCAAUGGAAAGCAUCCCCAUGAAUAUGAGGAAAAGAAGAGAGAGUAGAAUUAAUUUUGAUGGCAAGGUAGAAUGUCAGAAAUGGGCACAUAAGCAAAAAUGCCAUAAAAAAGGAAGUUAAUAAAGAUCUUUCAGAAAAAAUAAAGAUGGCUUGUUGGGACACGGCCAGAAAAGGUAAAUGAAUGCAUGAGACAUGACUUCAUAUAGUGGAAAUGGAAGUAGAAAUGUUUAAAUGUACUGGGA